UUUGUCUGAACUCUUUGAGUUGUUGGAUGUUGGUCUUCAUUCUGGAGCCUGUAUAGCGCCAAGGCCAAGAACGUUGCCGACUGCCUUUGUUGAACCUGAGAUGGUAGCAAAGGAGCAACACAUCCUGGAAGCAGCAAAUCAGUGGGGACUUUUUUCCCAGGUGUCCUGUUUGUCUGGUCUCUCCCAGUCACACAAUACCGCCAUCGCUAGGAGGGUUAAGGCAAACACAGGCUUCUGCCGAGUCCUGUGAAAAGCCAGUACAGCUGAACGUGCUCGGAGGAGAACACUAAUCACCAGAUCUGUUACGUCAGCCACCGCACUGAGUGAUGGGGGCAGGCAGGGGGCCAUCCUGCCCACCCAAAGACAGCGAGGUCAACUGUGCUCUCAUGGACUCUUGGCUGCAGCAUCGCCAGGGAACGAGCUCGUGGUCUCCAGAUCAUGGGGCCAGAUUGGUUGCCUUGUUUUUUCAGCUUUUUCGCAUCACUGAUUUUCACAUCUGCACCACCGAUGCUCAGUUUCUAAACCCUUAGCGUGUCACUUCACCGUAGAGGCUCUGGGUGUCACAUUAACCGAGACGGAGAUCACACUGAGGCAGCUGACGCUAUGGUGAUAUGCUGUUGAUGUCAUUUGUCCAUCGCCAGCCAGCUAACAUUAGAGGUGAAGAGAGGCAAGUGAGAUGUCAGAUUUAGUAGCAACCAGUGACUAAGAAGUGUGUAAUGUUACAUCAUUAAGCAGGUGCUGCAGCCAGUCUCUUCCAGCCAAGGCUGUCAAUCACUUCAUUCUGCAGCACAACCUCGCCUUGUGACUGUGCAGUGUUUAAAACCUGAUAUCUGGGGGGAAAUUAAAAAAGUGGCAGUACCAGCAUAAAGUGCUAGAAAUGAAGCUAGAAAUGAAAGAAAUCAGGGAACAAACAGUGUAAAUGUUCCCUCAAAGGUUC